UUAAUCUCAAUAGUAUCAGAUUCAGAUGGCGUUUUGUCGUGCGAAGACAUGGUUUUCGAGAAGUUUCUCUUCUCUUUCUUCAAAUCCAUUACGCGUUUGUGUUGUUGGAAGCGGACCUGCUGGCUUCUACACUGCUGAAAAGAUGCUGAAGGCGCAUCAAGGAGCAGAAAUUGACAUUGUUGAUCGAUUGCCUACUCCGUUUGGAUUGGUCCGCUCUGGUGUGGCACCUGAUCAUCCCGAAACCAAGAUUGUGGUGAACCAAUUUUCUCGGGUUGCACAAAAUGAUCGGUGCUCUUUCAUUGGAAAUGUGACUCUUGGAUCUUCCAUUUCUCUCUCGGAACUCCGUGAGUUGUAUCAUGUGGUUGUGCUUGCAUAUGGUGCUGAAAGUGACAGAGUCCUUGGUAUUCCAGGAGAAGAUUUUGCAGGAAUACACUCAGCUAGAGAAUUUGUUUGGUGGUAUAAUGGGCAUCCAGACUGCAAAAACCUGGAUCCUGAUUUGAAGAGCACUGAUACAGCUGUUAUUCUUGGUCAGGGUAAUGUUGCGCUUGAUGUUGCACGUAUCCUCUUACGACCUACAAUGGAAUUGGCAAAAACUGAUAUUGCCAGCCAUGCGUUGGCUGCUCUGGAGGAGAGCUCUAUAAGGAAAGUGUAUUUGGUAGGAAGACGUGGACCAGUACAAGCAGCUUGUACUGCAAAAGAGCUACGUGAAAUUCUUGGUAUUAAGGAUUUGAAUGUUCACAUUCAAGAAUCUGAUCUACUUAAAAGCCCAGCAGAUGAGGAAGAACUGAAGAAUAAUAGAAUUCAGAGGAGGGUUUAUGAGUUGCUCUCUAAGGCGGCCUCAGGACCUUCUCUUACCAGUUCAGAUCAACGGGAACUGCACUUUGUUUUCUUCCGGAAGCCAGAUAGGUUUCUGGAUUCAGGUGACAGAAAUGGCCAUGUUGCAGGUGUGCGCUGUGAGAAGACAAUUCUUAAAGAAAGUGUUGGCUCUGGGAAACAGAUUGCAGUGGGUACUGGACAGUUCGAAGAUCUUGAAUGCGGGAUAGUGCUAAAGAGCAUUGGUUACAAAUCUGUACCUAUCAAUGGUUUACCCUUUGAUCAUCAUAAAGGCAUAGUUCCAAAUAUUCAAGGUCGAGUUCUAAGUAAUACUACUGGAAAUCCUACACUAGUUGAGGAAGGAUUAUAUGUAUGUGGGUGGUUGAAGAGAGGACCAACUGGAAUCAUUGCUACAAACCUUUACUGUGCUGAAGAAACUGUUGCUAGCAUAUCUGAAGACCUUGAACAAGGAAAGUUACCAUCCACAUCUAGCUUGCCUAAACCAGGCCGAGAGGGCCUCCUUCAGUUAUUAGCUGAGAGGAAUGUCAGAGUUUUAUCGUUCAGUACCUGGGAAAAGAUUGAUUCUGAAGAGAAGAGGCUCGGGAGUUUGAGAAACAAACCCAGAGAAAAAUUAACCACGAGGGAAGAGCUACUGAAAGUUACCAUGGAAUGAAUCAACCUGGAGAGGAAUAAUUUUUUCUUUUUUAACAGGUCUUGCAUGAGGGGAAGAAAUGAAAAGAGCAGUGAAGACAAAUCAAAAACUGGGAACCACUCUGAAAAGGGCUUCACGUACAAAUUUUCCAGCCUAAGCAGAAAGUGUAAAAAAGGCCGGAAAGUGCAGAGAAAGACUUAAAAAAAUGCCAGGGUGUUGGUAAGAGGUUUGAACUCUCAUACUUUAAAGACACAUAAUGGGUUCACAAGAUUCAAACAAUAGGCAAUUUGUGUGUGUUUACUGUGUUCCUUGGCCUCAGAAACCGUUUGAACCACCCAAAUAAUACAAGCUGAGAUCAUAAGGUUUGUGUGUUUGGCGUCAUACCAGUGUUGGUUCUAAUCCAUAUAAUGUUGGUCCCAAUCAGUGUAGUCAAUUUAGCACCUAGGCAAGUACACGGGUGCACUUGGGACACCUAGGAUUACUUGUCACAGUACUUGACAAUUCCAUCCCCAUUAUCCACCAUUGGACUACACAUUCCUCUGUUGUGGUGACUGCGAAAGCACUCUGUUUCUUGUUUAAUCACUUUUUCCAUACUCAUCCUUCAUUAUCAUGUCAUUAUCAUCUAAGUAUUAAUAAUAUCAACCUUGGUCUGACACUUGUUUCAAUAUAUUUGUAGCUGUCCUCUAUAAUCAUUCUUGUUAUUAUUGUAUUUGAUGAUUAUCUUACAAACUCAGACCCAGAUAAAAUAAUAUA